rnacentral:rRNA from 1 species
CCUACGGGGGGCUGCAGUGGGGAAUAUUGGACAAUGGGCGAAAGCCUGAUCCAGCCAUGCCGCGUGUGUGAAGAAGGCCUUCGGGUUGUAAAGCACUUUCAGUGGGGAAGAAAGCCUUGGGGCUAAUACCCUCGAGGAAGGACAUCACCCACAGAAGAAGCACCGGCUAACUCCGUGCCAGCAGCCGCGGUAAUACGGAGGGUGCGAGCGUUAAUCGGAAUUACUGGGCGUAAAGCGCGCGUAGGCGGUCUGAUAAGCCGGUUGUGAAAGCCCCGGGCUCAACCUGGGAACGGCAUCCGGAACUGUCAGGCUAGAGUGCAGGAGAGGAAGGUAGAAUUCCCGGUGUAGCGGUGAAAUGCGUAGAGAUCGGGAGGAAUACCAGUGGCGAAUGCGGCCUUCUGGACUGACACUGACGCUGAGGUGCGAAAGCGUGGGUAGCAAACAGGAUUAGAUACCCUAGUAGUC